AAGGCAGGAAGACACUGAGGAAGGCUGCGUCAAGAAGGAGGCAGAAGGAGUUGGGCUUGGUUGUCGCCAACCACUAGAAGUUGGGAGAAAGACAACGAUGAGAUUAGCAGAGGCUCCGGGAGGGAUUAAUCGGUUCAGCGCAUUGAUUACAGACCUCCAGUCCCAGAACUGUGAGAAAAUUAUUUUCUUUUGAUUUGUUUUCUUUUUCUUUUCUUUUUUUUUUUUUUUUGAACCUGGUUUUCGGUAAUGUGUUAGGAAGCCCUAGGCCUUCUGUGUCACAAGAGACAGGAGAACCAGACUUGGGAGUGAGGGCUUCUUCCACCAGGUCCUUUGUGAGUACAGGAGCACGUGUUCUUAGAGCCUGGGCCUGAGGUCAUACCGUUGUAAAACAGACCUUUUGUAACCUUAGGGAGGGCAGCUUUUUGGAAUCCACUCCUCCUGCUGCCUUCAGGGAGUCUGGAGUUGAAGUGCCCUCUGGCUGUCAUUGGGAGCCGAACUGUCUGGAGAGAGGCAGCAGCCCGGAAGAAGCUCCAGACCUUGCUUGUCUAAUGAACCGAAGAAUAAAAACAUACGCACUGGAGCAAAGAAGCACAGCCCUCAGAAGAAAGCGCAGCUGAAUCCUGUCAUUUCCUGGGAGAGACUAAAACCUCCUGCGUGCUAAUCCUGUGUUCUGCUGGGAGCCAUACCCCGUACCUUGUGGACCUAUUUGUCUUUACAGAUUCUGGGAGCACCCUUUUCAAUUGCGUGGCUUUUUUUCUUUUCUAUCAAAACAGAGGCCUGAUAUGAAGAGAGGAACACGUGAUGUCCCACAGCUAGAAACUGGAAAGAGCUCCAUCGGGAAGAUGUGAAGUCAGCCAUCACCUUUUCUGUUCUGCUGUUGCAUUCAUUCUCUGGGGGAAUCACCGCACACUACGCAGGGGCUGCUAAAAGUUCCCAGCAGGUCAAAGCAGACUCCAGAGAUGGAGACUCAUGCUCUGACUGAGAGUAGAUAGGUUUGGUGGUGAGAGCGCCAGCAGCCAUCUCAGACAAGAGGAGGCAGAGGACGGGACCUACAUGUUAAGUAUGGGGGUACAGAGAUUAACACAACUCUCAGAUGACCAGUGAAUCACCUCACCAGGACUGGACUCCCUAUCUCCAAAUUUCUUUGAUUUGAGAGACAAACACCUCCAUGUUAAAGCCUCUAUUACAUUUACCUGGCUGUAUACAAACAAAUUAAUUUUAACUCCUACACCUUCAGAAUCACCAUUUUUCCUUUCUCUGGCUGUAAUAGUUCCCCAGAGUUAUGGUGGUAAUUUUGCUAUCUGUGGUCUGCUGGUUGGCCAAGCUGAAAACGCACUUCCAAUUAACAUGUGAAAAUACUGGCUCACAGUCAUCCCUGGGCUAUAUUGUCCUGUGUCCCCAUCAUUGCAAAAGACAGCAGCCCCUUUCCUGUCACUAGUGACCUAAAGCCUAGUAUUAGCUUUUAUUCUCUCUUUCAAUCAGUUUCCAAAUCCUAUGCAUUCUUCAUUCUCUUGCAGAGCAACGGGAGGACAUCUUAUCUCAGGAGAGAUAAGCAGAACAUGGUUAAUUGUUUCCGGGAGGCUUAACGUCCAGACAGACACUAGUUAAAUUAGCACGCAAAUGCUCCAUGGUAACUGUGUCAAGUGCUACAGAGGGAAGAUACUGAGACCACACAGAGAGGCACAGAGAAGGGUGUGACUAAACUGAAACACCAAGGGUGAAUAGUCUGGCUGACAAUAAGAAGGAGACUCUGGAGAGGGGCAGCACUCCAGGAAACAGCAUUCACAGAGGCUGAAGAAGGAAGGCUCAGUGUAUCCAGCAAAGUUAAAGAGGACACUGGCUAAAGAGGGCACCUGGUGCCCAUGAUGGAUGGAGAGUCCAAGAAGCAGAUGUGACGUACAGAGCAUGACUUGGGACUUCUUCAAAGACCAGAGGGAAUGAAAUGCAGGGUGUUCCUGUUGUAAAGGGCCGGUAGGCAGGGCCCAUAUCUUCCCAUCUCUCCUUUCCCUCCCUGUUCUCUUUCUCCUCCCCUCCAGUCUCUUCAAUCUGCCUUCUCUUCCUGAAACUCACUACACAUGGCCUUGAAGAUCAUUAGUCCCACACUCAGUACCCACCCUUCUACCCACACCCCGAAAUUCUUCCAAAGCAUGCCAACUACAUAAAAUCUGACUUCCUAACGGCACUGACCCCCCGACCCCCAGGCUGCCAUCAUGAGCCUUCUCUCUUGCUUACACAACUCCCUGAUCUUGUCUGAUCUACACUGUGCUGCAUUUUUUUUUCCUCAUCUCCCUCCUUGGGCUGAAAUGUCACUUUCUCGAAUGGCCAUUUGUCCCUUCAGACCUAUCUCAAGUGUUCUCGGAGUCAAUCUUCCUCCUCUACCACGGAGAGCUGAGUAUGCUCCUCGAGGGCGGGG